UUUCUCGUACGAUCACCGAAGUUAAGCAAAGUCGAGCCUGGUCAGUACCGAGAUGGGUGACCGCUUGAAAAUACCAGAUGCUGUAA
rnacentral:rRNA from 1 species